rnacentral:lncRNA from 1 species
CUCUUUAAUGUCGGCCGGUGUUGCGGCCAUGGCUUUGGUGUCUUGAACAUAGGUUCGAGUGGGUGCGUUCAGAACCUUCUCCAUACCAUCUGGUAGGUUCAACAGGUGGUGGAUGGUUGAGAGAAGAGGUUGCUCCAUUACCAGGUUCAUUCUCUCUCUAAGGUUUUGGGAAACGUGGGUUGUGAACAGGCAAGGCAAUAGAAAUUGUGCUUGUUUGAUCUGUGAUGAGAGAGAAAGAGGGGGUGGAGGUGUUUAUAUAGCAUGGGUGGGAGAAGGUUCUCCAGUGGAGAGAGAGUUUUCGAGGAGCUUCGGAUAGCGUCCCGAGCUUACCAGAAACCUCCACUUUUCUUCUCUCUUCUGCGCUCUCUCAAUACUUUUCUUCGCGUCUCUCUCCUCUUCUUUUCUCCUUACCGCCACGUGUAAGCACCGGUACCUCGUUUUUUUUGCCCGUAAUAAUGUAGAAAAUGGUCAAGGUUUUAUAGAAUCCUCUACUUUUUUACUUUUUUUUUUUUUUUUUUUUGUUUUGUUUUUGUUUCGCAUGAAUUAUAUACUCUUUCGGAAGCAUCGAUUAUUUGUAUUCCUUGGUAAGAAGAUUCAUUUGGGAGUAAUUUUUUCAAUCUUAAAUUUUAGAAAUUACUUAAAGAUUACUAGAUGACUAUUUUUUUAAAAAAAUAUAAAAUUUGAUUUUUUGUAACGCUUAGAUCUCACCAUCUAAAAAUUGGAUAAUCACCGUUAAAUUUCAAAACUUUUUGAGUAUUUUUUUGUAUAAUUCAACAGGGAUGUCAGCCCCUUCCCAUUUUUUAAAAUUAUUGAUGGUUUUGAAUGCACUAGAUGAAAAUGAAAACCUAGAUCUUAACUUGGGAACAAAUAGUGUUACCACCACGACCCCAACGUAGCAUUUUACUCCCGCGGGAGGAAGAUAUCUUUUGGCAAAGAGUAAUAGUGGUGUGAGGCCCCAUAGAUCACCGUAGAUCUCAAGACUCCCAUCUCAAAAUAAAAAAUCAAUGUCUUUAUGUUUUGCUUCUCUCUCUGCUUAAUUUAUGACAACAAGUACAACAAGAGCACUACUUCCUCCGAGUUUCUCUCUCUCUCAAGCAAUAUGGAUGGCCUUCUCUCCUCCCUCAUUGGUCUCUCACCCUCACGGCCGCCCUCUACUCUUUUCCUCUAUGCUCCCACUCCCCUGCACCUCUCUCACCUUCAUGGCCUCCUUCUACUCUUUUCCUCUAUGCUCCCGCUCCCCUGCACCUCUCUCACCGUCACGUCCUCCCUCUUCUCUAUCUCUCACGGCUUUCCUGCACCUCUCUCUCAGCCCAUUUGAAUAAGCUACACGACAACCACCUCAAGAGAGACCACCUCCCCGACCACGACCAAUGUACAAUCUUCUUUCCCUAGCAUAAUAUUAGGGUGGUUUUACAGAUUUGAAUGUUGGGGCUUUUUUAAAUUAGAAAUUUUAAACUCAUACCAUUGGCUUUGUAGGAUUAGGGUUUAGGGUGGUGUUGCAGAUUUGAAUGUUGUUUUUUUUUAAAAAAAUGAGAUAUUUAAAAAAAUAUGUGGUUCUGUAGGGUUUAAGGUGCUUUUUAAAACUAGGUUUUAGAAGUUUAAAUGUUGGGGCUUUCUUAAAUCAACCAUUUUAAAAACUGUGAUGCUCUGUAUAGAAUGAAAUUGUUGCUCAUAGCUGCAAAACGCUCUAAAAAUGUGCUUUAUUGCCAAAUUAGUCUGAGAUAUCUAGUUGUUUUUCUUCUUUCAAAUGAUUUGGUUCAAGACUAGAUUUUUGCAGCUUAUUCUCAAAUUUUGUUGAAUAAAUCUGACAACUGCUCUCAAAAGAAACAAAUUGUUCUUUUAUUAAGUUAAAAAAGAAAUAGGUUUUACUCACCAGAAAAGUAUACUUCAAUUUUGAUCCUCUACUUAUAGCUGAUGUAAUUCUUAACUCAAUGACUGAUUCCUAUUUAUUAAAUAGUCGACGAGCUUGAUUUAUAAUGAUGAAUAAAAAGUCUACUCAAGCCAAUCCCCAAAUAAUGUAAGUAGUACCUCAAAUAGUGCCGGAAAUGAAUGCCUCAAAUAGUGCUUACUUCCAGGAUGGUUUUGCAUCUAGUGUGACUAUAGGUUAGUGCACAAUUACUCUGGCAGCAAUAAGGGGAAGAUCACUACUCGUAAUACGCUAAUUUUGGCGUAUAUAACUAUGGCUAGUGAUGCAUAAAAAUGUUUUUUUUUUUAUAAAUACCUUGGGUUGUUACAUUAGUAGGUUCAUUCUUGGAGGACGUUCCAGACGUUUGGUUUUUGUUACCACUUAUCAGGAAAUUAAUCCUUCCACACUCUUUUUCAUGUUCUUGCUGUGAACAAAUCCUCCCUCCAAUCCUUAAAAGUUUUUCAAACAUGGUUUCUAAUCCAAACAUUGUUAGAAUUGAGACUGGAGUCACUUUAACUCCGAACGUCAUUGAUUCUCAAGAGAACGUGUGUAUUGUUUCAUAGAUGGUUACAAGUGAUACAAGCAAAGUACAAUAAUGCUUAAUUUUAUUUUUUUUAAAAUGCUUAGAUGCCCAUAUUAAGUAUCAAGGGACUGUGGAAUCUCCCUGAUUGAUAAGCUCCUCUCUAAAUGUCUCUUCCCUAGUCUAGGAUUUGGAAGCCUUCUUGGUAUUGCCAAGUCUAGGAUUUCAAAGACAGUUAAUGCUCCAGCAUUCAAGUUUCACAAUGAGUUUAGACAAAACGACAGUGGAAUGUUUUAUACAAUUGAGGGGAUUAAACACGUCAAUUUCAUCAGAACUACAAAAGCUAAAUACAUCAAUAGUUUUAUUAUCUAAAAAAGGAAAAAAAAAAAAACAUUAUUGGUAAUACAAACUCAAACCAUUAUUAAAGACUUAAGAUAUUUGUUUCAUGUAUGAAUAAGAAAUACAAUAAAGGUUGUGAUGAAAGAAAAAUUAUCGUAAAUGAAAAAAAAUGAAUAACAUUAUUCAACAAUUCCAAUUAAACUGAGAAUAAACCAAGAUUUUUAAAAUUGAGAAAAAAAUUUAUUCAACAAAAUCUGAGAAUAAGCUGCAAAAAUCUAGUCUUGAACAACACUAUUUGAAAGAAGAAAAAUAACUCGAUAUCUCAGGUAAAUUUGGCAAUAAAGCACAUUUUCAAAGGGUUUUGCAGCUAUGAACAACAAUUUCAUUCUUUCUAUACAGAGCAUCAUAGUUUUUUAAAAUCGUUGAUUUAAAAAAGCCCCAAAUUUAAACCUCUGAAACCUAGUUUUAGAAAGUAUCCUAAACCCUACAGACCCACAUAUUUUUUAAAUCUCUCAGUUUUUUUUUUAAAAAAACAACAUGCAAACCUGUAAAACCACCUUAAACCCUAGUCCUACCUAGCCAAUGUUUUGAGUUUAAAAUAUCUAAUUUAAUAAAGCCCCAACAUUCAAAUAUGUAAAACCACCCUAAACCUUAAUAUUAUGCUAGUGAGAGAACAUUGUACCUUGAUCGUGGCUGGGGAGGUGGUCUCUCUUGAGGUGGUUGUCCAGUAGCUUAUUCAAAUGGGCUGAGAGAGAGGUGCAGGAAAUCGGUGAGGGAAAGAGAAGACGAAGGACGUGAGGGUAAGAGAGGUGCAGGGGAGCCGAAGCAUAGAAAAAAAGAGUAAAGGGUGGCCGUGGGGUGAGAGACUAGUGAGGGAAGAGAGAGGACCGUUCACAUUGCUUGAGAGAGAGAAACUCAUAGAAAGUAUGGCUCUUGUUGUACUUGUUAUAAAUUUAACGAGAGAGAAAAAAAAGAACAAAGCAUUAAGGCAAUUGACUUUUUAUUUUGAGAUGGGAGUUUUGAGAUCUACGUGAUCGGGGGUCUCACACCUUCCAGGUUCCUAUAGGAUCAUUACUAUUAGAUUUUAGCUUUUUAAUAAUUUUUCAUUAAUUAUUGAUCCUCACAUGUAUCUAUUAUAACAUCAUUAUGGGGGGGGGGAAGAAUAUUCGAGGGACAUUUGAGAAAAUGUUUAUAUAGGGCUGAGGCUCUAAACAAUCAAAUUAGAGCCCACAUCAAAAUGUUAACUAGAAGAGGUUGUUUUGAUUAUCAGAUAUCCUCAAAUUGAUCAUCUCUACAUUAAGAUGCAUAAACAUGAAAAAAAAAUGAAUUUCAAGUCUUAAAAAUAGUGUAUUUUAUAACAUAUUUUUGGACUGUCAAUAUUGAAGAUUUUCAUAUAUCUGCUCAAUCAACACUAUUUUUGAAGCUUUAAAUUUUUAUAAUUAGAUAUAAACAUACAUUAUAAGACUAUCACAAAUAUUUUCAGUAUUAAAAUUAUAUUUUUCGACAUUAUUUGAUUGUGCGUUGUAUUUUGAUGGUUUAAAACAUCGCUCUAUAGCUCUCGUCAAACAGCCGAAAUAUUAUUAUGGCAAAUCGGACUUACCCGUGCCGAAAAAAGAGAACAAAAAAAAAAAAAAGGAAAAAGAGAGAAGAAAAGUAAAGAGAGAGAGCGCAUAAGAGAAAAGGAAAGUGGGGCUUUCUCGUGAGGUCGGAUCCUUUAAAAAGCUUCUCGAAAACUCUGUGUCCCUUCCACAACAUUUUCCCAUCCUUGCUAUAUAAACACCUGCACCCCCCCACUUUGUCUCUCAUCAGAGGUCGGAAAAGUGGAAUUUUACUCACAAUUUUUAGAGAAAGAAACGAUUCAUUGUCAACAUUUCCCAAAAUCUUAGAGAGAGAGUGGACUUUGUAAUGGAGCAACCUUUUCUCUCAACUAUCCACCACCUGUUGAACCAACCAGAUGAUAUCGAGAAGCUCCUGAACGCACCCACUCGAACCUAUGUUCGAGACACCAAAGCCAUGGCCUCGACACCGGCCGAUAUCAAAGAGUACACCAAUUCGUAUGUCUUCAUGAUCGACGUGCCCGGCCGCAAAUCCGGCGAUAUCAAGAUUCAGGUCGAAGACGACAGGAUUCUCAGCAUCAGUGGGGAGAGAAAGAGCGAGGAGAAAGAAGAUCCGGAGGCCAAAUAUGUGAGAAUGGAGAGAUGGGUUGGGAAAUUCACGAGGAAGUUCAAUUUGCCUGAGAAUGCGAAUGUGGAGGCCAUUUCAGCUGCUUGCCAAGAUGGGGUUCUUACUGUCACUGUUCAGAAGCCGCCUCCUCCUCAGCCCAAGAAGCGCAAGACCAUUGAGGUCAAGGUUGCUUGAGUUUAGAGAGAGAGUGGUCUUUUAAGUACUUUGGUUUCUUUUCUCUUAAAGCUCUUACUGUGUGCUUUCAUGGUGCGCCUGAGAAUAUAUCUGUGAAAUUGAUGUUCUUUUUUUAUGGCUGGGUGCUUUUGAUUUCAGCUUGGAUGGUACAUAAAGGUGGAUAUAGGUUUCUGGUUAUGGUAUUAAAGAUAUAUAGAGUAUGAGAAUGAUUUGUGGACAUGACGACUCUGUUCUCUUCUUUGUUUUCUGGUUUCCAUGGACGCUUUUAUUCCGGUGUUCAAAAGCGGGAUCGGAGGGGAAGAUCGGGUUUGAAUUGAUCAUAAAAUCGAAUCGGAACAGACAUGACCCUCGAAGCGGGGUAAACCGAUCAAUUCAACUAUUCUAAUUGAGUAAAUUUGGGUGGUCAAAAAAAAAUGUUGAAAAAUUUAAAAUAUAUAUAUAAAAAAAUCUAUUAAAGUAUAAAAAGUAUAGUAUAGUUUCUAGAAGGUUGCAACCUUAAACAAUCCAAUUAAGGCAGACUUUCAAAUUCUAUCAUAUUAUAAUAAUUUGGGUGGAAAAUAAUUCUUUGGAUUAUUUUAAAAACUAUUUUUAACUCCAAUUAUAAAAUUUUAAAUUUGAAAAAUCGUUAAAUCAAGUAAAUUUAUAAACAUAUGAAAAUCUCAUAUUUGAAAAUGGAUGGUCUAGAUAAUGUAUUGGAUAUUGCACUAUUUUUGGGAAUCAAUUGUUUAUUUAUUUCUUUUAUAUUCAAUCAUCUCGACAUGAGCAAUUACAUGGUUUUUCAACAUCAAAACAACCUUUUUUGAUCGAUUUUUGAGGUGCAUCUUUAAUUUUACAUUUUAAGGUUGCAUUGAUAUAAACUUUUUUCUAUAACUAUUGAUUAAACUACAUUCAAAUGAAGUUGAAAAUUAAUGAAAAAAAUAGAUUUUAACGAAUCGAUUUUUUAGUUAAAGGCUAUUGAUGACAAAAAAUAAUAAUUAAUCUUUAUUUGAAAAGUGCAUUAUAAACAAAUUUUUUUAUUUUUAAGAAUUUAUAUAUAUAUAUAUAUAUAUUAAUUUUUUUUUUUAAAUACUGGUCAAUCACCAAACUACCCAAAACCAGAACCGGCCAUUGGCCGGUUUCGAUCUAACCGGGUGGUUAGCGUUUAGAUCGGUAGGUUUUUAAACAUUGCCAUAUUGGUGAUCUAAGAAACUCAAAAUAAAUGAAACAAAAUUAAAGGAAAUGGUUUUUAUGAGUCUAUGUAGAAAUGAGUCAUCUCUUUUAAAUUUAUAUUUUAAAUGAAUUUUGGCCCUAAUUUUUAAGGACAUGUGAUCUCUAACAUGGAAUAAAUAAAUAAAAUUUAAAAAUUUAGAAUUAUUUUCAAUUUUAAAGAUUGAAAAUAAUAAUUCUGUUAAAAAAUUAUUUAGACAGUUAGUUUCAAGUUUUUUUAGAUGGACAAUCUAUUUGCAUCCCUCUAUAAGACCGAUGCUUUUUAUGAGGUUGGGAUUUAGAGGCGGAUUACAAAAAAAACAUUAGAAAAGCCUAGAAAGAGAGUUGUGUAUAGGCCAAUUUCGAGGAAACUGGGUCGGACCCAUACAAUCUAAGUUCAAGAUGGAUUUCUAUUCGGAUUGGUGAUUUGAAUUGGAAAUUGUCGAGGUUUAAAACAGUCUCAACCGAUUCCUAUCUGGACAGCUGAUUUUGUAUGGAAAUCGCUGGAUUUCGAAUUACUCUUUUUAUCGAGGUGGUAUAUUAUGAUUGUGGGCUUAGAUAUUUUCUUAUUUAUUUCCUUGUUUUUAAGAAUUUUGGACGUUUUCUGUUCGCGUUUUCUUAUCUUGUUGCAAUUUUGGUUAUAAACAAUUUUGAGUUUGGGCGCAAUCUUUGGGUAGAACUGUGAGAAACAAUCUGAUGGGCAAAUUGUAAAGCUCAAUUGGGAGCAAAUUUUAAAUUUGGAAAAAGUUUAUACAAAGGUAGGCCCCAAAGCACUUAAGAAGUAGUUUUUGAUGCCUAAAAGCUCUGAAAUCGAUCAUCUCAACUUUAAGAUGAAAGGAUUUGAGAAAAUAUGGAUUUUAAUAUUAAAAUUAUUGUAUUAUAUAAUGUAUUUUGUGGACCGUCAAUUUUUAAAAUUAAAAAAUAUUUAUAUAUAUGUUCAAUCUACACUAUUUUUGAAGCUUUAAAUUUUAUAAUUAGAUAUGAAAAUAAAUUUUUAGACCAUUACAAAUAUUUUCAGUACUGAAAUAAUAUUAUUUGAAGGUGCGCUUUACUUUGAUUGUUUAGAACCUCAGCCUUAUACAAACCACACUCUUGUUUAAGAAGAUUUGGUUAAUCUUUUUAUAUAUAAUAUAUAAAGAGGUCCAUGACUUAGUGGCAAAAUCCAUCUCAGGUUCGGAGUUGGUUUGGAUGGUUGGUUCGGCAUAUAAAAUUGCUUCUUUAAUUGUAAUAGUCAACAAAAAAAAAAAACAAUGGAGAUAUAAGAGGGGAUUUUCCAAAUUUGAGCCUACCUCGGCUCUAUAUAUUUGAGCCUACCCCCAAAAUUUCAAUAGAAGAGGUUGUUUUGAUGCCCAAAUAUCUUCAAAUUGAUCACCUCAACAUCAAGAUGCAUGGAUAUGAGAAAAAAAUGAAUUGCAAGUUUUGAAAAUAAUGUAUUUUGUAAUGCAUUUUUUGACCGUUAAUUUUCAAGAUUUUCAAGUUUCAUGGAUAUGUCAAUUUACACUAUUUUUGAAACGUUAAACUUUAAUAAAUAUAAAACUAUAAUUUUAAGACUAUCACAAAAAUUUCUAAUAUUAAAACCAUAUUUCUCGAUGCUAUUUGAAGGUAGGCUCUAAUUUGAUUGUUAGAGCCUAGGCUCUAUACAAACCGCUCCGGUUCGACUCGGAAACAAGCGUGACCAUGCCGGUUCCAACCGAAAACCGGAAACAGCCCGAUUCUAGAGUAGAACCGCCGGUUCCCAUCCGGUUCACACACGUAACACACGACACCUACGUGCGAGCGUGCCCCACGUACACUCACACGCGCACACGUGUGUCCGAGCGCACGUGCGAGCAUGCCCACAUGCCCCACACACACUCACACAUGCACACGUGUGUUCGAGCACACGUGCGAGCGUGCCCCACGCACACUCACAUGCGCACACGUGUGUCUGAGCGCACAUGCAAGCGUGCCCCACGCAUAAUCACACGUGCACACGUGUAUCCGAGCGCACGUGCAAGCGUGCCCCACGCACACUCACACGCGCACACGUGUGUCCGAGCGCACGUGCGAGUGUGCCCCACGCACACUCACACGUAACACAUAACACGCUCGCACGUGCCUGCACACUCACACGUGCACACGUGUGAGCAUGCUUGCGUGCCCCACACACACUCACACGUGCACACGUGUAUCCGAGCGCACGUGCGAGCGUGCCCCACGCACAGUCACACGCGUACACAUGUGUCCGAGCGCACGUGCGAGCGUGCCCCACGUACACUCACACGCACACAUGUGUAUCCAAACGCACAUGUGUGGUUGCCCUGAUAUUUUUAUACACAUGUUAUAAUUCAUAUUUCAUAGGUAUUUAUAUACCAAAUUUGAAUAUCCAUCUUUCGAUGGGGGAUAAUUCUCAAACAUUAUUAAAUGAAAACAAAAUGUAAAUAUAGUCUAUUAAUCAGCAAUUUAUAAUUACAUGUAGUUAGAUGGCUUGAUGGUUAUGAUUUUGAAUGUUUUAUUUGAGGUCCUAAGGUCGAAUCCCCUUGGGCACCCCCUUGGGCAUGUGUUGCAUUUUUGUUGUAUAUAUAGUGGUUGGUAUAAAUAUUUUUGUUGUUUUCGAUUCCCCUUGGGCAUGUGUUGCAUUUUUGUUGUGUAUAUAGUGGUUGGUAUAAAUAUAAAUAUUUUUGUUGUGUAUGUAGUGGUUGGUAUAAAUAUAAAUAUUUUUGUAAAUAAUAUAAAAGACAUAAAAAAUAAAAAAAUUAAUUUUUAAUUUAACCGUAAAUUUUUGUUGUAUAUAGUGGUAUAAUUAUUUUUGUAAAUAAUAUAAAAGGUAUAAAAAAAAUAAAAAUAAAAAGUUUAUUCUAUUUGAAAUCUCCAUCUUUCUACUAACAAUCUCUUUUACUAAAUUUAUUAUCGAAACCUAAAAAAAUAAAUUUUGAAAAAUUGAAGUGUUAUUUCUAAAAUUUGUGUGCAUUUUAUUAAUUUUUACAUUGAUAACCAAAUCUUUUAUUUUAUUUAUGAAUUUUUACAUUAUAAAUCAUGUAAUGUACUUUUUUUCUUACAGUUGUCAAAAAUACAUUUUAAAUUAGAUAAUAUUAUAAAAUAUUUUUAAUUUGUUAUUAUUUGUCUAAUAAAAUAAUUAUAAAUGUAAACCAAUAAUUAUAAUUUUAGUAUAUAUUAUUAUAAUUAGUGAAGUUGUAAUAAUUUUGGAUUAUAGUUAGUUAAGUUGUAAUAGUUUGGGUUUUUUUAGCGGGUUAAGGUUUUUCGCCAAAACGAGAUUUUAAUGGCCAUUCUUUCAUUGAUUAGUCUACUCUUAUAAUAGUCCAUAUAUAAUUAUAUAUUUUAUCCAUGAUAAUUCUAUGAUUUUUCUUUUAUGUGAUGCAAAUUUAAUAGUUAAAAUAAAUUUAUACAGGGAAAGAACAUCUCAAUAUUCAUAAAUUGAUAAAAAAAAUGAAAGUUAAUAAUGCAGUACGCUUAUUUUUUAUUGGAUUCCUAAAAAACAAUAUUUAUAAUGGAUUUUAAUAAUUUUUUCGGAUUUUUUUGAAACUUUAAUCUGACCGAUUCAGCCGAUUCCCGAUCCGAAUCGCCGAUUCGUUGAUCCUAAUCGGUUUUUGAGGGGCUCGAUCCAGGUCACCGAUCCGUUUUUUAAACCAUUCCUUUUACCAAUUCCCUUUGCAAAUUGAAGAACAAUCAAAUUGUACGCCACCCACAGGCUUCAAAUACGAUAUAAUGUUACUACCUAUCUUCUUGGCAAAAAUACACACUCUAUCAAAACAAGUAAGGCCUCGCCUCAUAACUCAUCUAAAAUUGCGAGUCAAGCAGUACAAAACUUUUGAUCAUCUUAGCUUGAAUAAUAUGGUUGUGAGAAAAUUAAAAAAAUUUAUAUAAAUAUUUAUUUUAUUUUCUGUUAUUACAAAAAUACCUAAUAUUUUAUGUUAUUACACGUAUAUCUAUUUUUUGAACUCUAUAACAAUUUUUUUAAAAAAGACCAAACUGCCCUUUUUUUUUGAAAAAUAUAAAGUUUAAUAAUUUUGGUGUUUGAAAAUCCGGAAAUUUAAUAAUUUUGGUUUUUUGAAAAACCAAAAAUUUAAUAAUUUCGGUUUUUCAUAAUCCCAAAACUCGUAUUCUACAAUUCAAUAACUUCAAGUAUUUAUGGUUGAAUUAAAUAGGACUUUUGGUUUUUCAAAAACCGAAAAACUUCUAUUUUUGGUUUUUUCAAAAACCGAAAUUCCAAUGUUUCCAUGAUUAGGGCCUCCCAUUAUUUGAAGAUGCACCCUUGAUUCUGCUGUUUAGAUUCUUCAUGAAGUCCUUACCAUUGAUUUCCUUUUAUAUUUAUUUGGUUGAAUUUUGUUGUUUUAUUUAUUGUCUCUUAUCUGAUAUGCCAAUGAGUAAUUGUAUGUUGAUUAUUUCAUCCACAAGAAUUUGUUCCUAGGGCUCUGUUUGCAGAGAAGCCGUACUCUGCAAAUGAUGCAUGGAGGAAACUCCACUCUGAUCCCUUGCUCAUGAUUCGGCUAAGGGAGCAGGAGGCCCUUGCCAACAACCCUAUCAAAAAAUGGAAAUGAUUUACAAAUCUAUAUGCCUCUCUUAUCCUUUUGCUUGGCUCUUUUUAUAUUUUUUUUUUGUUCCCAACUAUGUCGGGGAAAAAAUUGAACUCAUCAAAUGAGUAAACUUGUUAUUCUUUUGAUCUUCAAUUGCCCUUCCUGAUACAAGAUCAAAAAAGGCAAUGGAAGAUCAAAUAUGCACGCAAAAGACACAAGUCUUGUGACAGAAAAAAGUAGCCAUCCCCAUGACUCAGAAUCAUGACUCAAAAAAAGUAGCCAUCCCCAUGAGUGAAAGCGAGAGAAUAAAGAGCAAGUACUACUCUGCCAACUCCACCAAGAAAGACAAAGCAUACGAGAGAGACUCAGAAUCCUCUACGAGUAAAAGCAAGAGACAAAAGAGCAAGCACCACAGCUCUUCAAGGUCUGCUGAUAAAGAAAAACUAGAGAAACACAAACUACAAAUUCGGUUUACCAAAUACAUAAAUUUCUUCAAUUUUGGUUUUUAAAAAGUUGAAAGUAGGUAGUUUUGUCUUUUUAAAAACAAAAUUGUUGUGAAGUUCAAAAAAAUGACAUACAUGUAAUUACCGAAAGUAAAAGGUAUUUUUGUUAUAACGGAUACAUACUUAAGUUUUCCUAAAAAAAAGUUUUAAGCUUUAAAAAUAGUGUAUAUUGUAACAAAUUAUCUAAAUUGUCUAUUUCACCCUAAAAAUAAGUAUUCAUAGACCCUCAAGAUCUAUACUAUUUUUUGAGCUUCGAAUUUGGUUAUUGGUGUUGGAAAUUGAUUUUAUAGAUUUCCGUUACUAAAAGUGCUUUCUGGAUGAGGAUUUGAGGUUAGGGUUUAUUUUGUUUUCAUAAAGCCUAGGCCAUAUAGAAACUUUAUCCCAUUAAAAAUUAUAAUAUGAACACGCAACCAUUGAAAACUUUUGUGGAUUCUCGGGUGUAUGUUCUCUCAGCCAGGUUUUUGCACGGGGGGGUAAAUGUGCAAUUUACUCCUGCGAGAGCAGAAUAUUAUUUGGUCUACCAUGUUGACCGAACAUAUAUGAAUAUAAGUUGUGUGAGAUAUUUAGCGUGUGCAAACCUAAGUGGUGCCUUAUAUGUUAUAAUAGAUAGAUGACAGAUUUUUAGGAUUGAAACUUAUUAAAAUAGUAUAGUGACAAAUUUUGCACACUGUACAUACACCUAAAGGAGGUCUUGCAAUGAAAAAGAGACUAUCUAAUUUUUGCAGUGUUUAUUUCAAAAAGGAUGAAGUUUUUAUAGGGCCUAGGCUUUAUGAAAACAAAAUAAAAAGCUUCACCUCAAAUCCUAUAAAAAGCUUCGCCUCAAAUCCUUGUUUCGAAAGCGAUUUCGGAAUCAUAAAUCUCCAUAAUGGAUCUAAAUCAAUUUCCAACUGAUAAAAAAAUUUAAAAUUCAAAAAAUAGUACAAAUCUUGCUGAGCUAUGAAUGCUUAAUUUUUUGCUAAAAUGAACGGUCUAGAUAAUUUGAUACAAUAUACACAAUUUUUAAAGCUUAAAAUCCUUUUUUUUUUUCCCACCACUAAUAUGUUCAAGCCAAGAUAAUAAAUGUAAAGGUUUUUCAAUGCUUGGAUUGUAGUUUUUGACGAUCUACGUGGUGUGGCUUUACUUUUGAUAGGGGACAGCCCUAUUAAACCAUUUUCCUUUCAAAAAUACUCACGGGUCAUUUUAAAGUUCCACGAAUAUUUAAAGGGAAAAGUUUAUAUAGAGCUCAGGCUCUAAACAACCAAAUUCAAACUUACCUCAAAAAUUUCACUAGAAGAGGUUGUUUUGAUGCCCAAAUAUCUUCAAAUUGAUCAUCUCGACAUAAGAUGCAUGAACAUGAAAAAAAAAUAGAUUUUAAGUUUUGAUAAUAGUGCAUUUUGUAAUGCAUAAUUUGACCGUCAAUUUUCAAGAUUUUCAAGCUUUCAUAGAUCCAUUUGAUGUACACUACUUUUAAAGCUUUAAAUUUUAUAUUUAGAUAUGCAAAUAUAUUUGAAGGCUAUCACAAAGAUUUUCAGCAUUGAAAGGUGGGCUCUACUUUAAUUGUUUAGAGCCUCGGCUCUAUACAAACUGCACCCAUAUUUAAAAGGACAAUUAGUUUGAGUCAUCCGACUCACUGAGAUUUGUGAGUCCCCUCGUGCAUCAAACGCCCAUCUCUAAGAUGGAUAUAAAAAAAGGUAUCUGAAUUAAACUUCAAGAUGGAUGGGAGAGAAAAAAGAAUAAUAAAUAUUAUUUUUAUUUUUGAGAAAAGAAAAACUUCAUAUUUAUGAAUCAAUUAAUGAAUGGCGUGCUCAUUAGACCACCUCAAGCAAAUGUACCAUUGGGAAAAGGGUCUCACGGUGGUGGCACCCCCACACCCUAAUCACUACAUUGUAAUUUCUAUUUUCAUAACACCACCGCAUUAACAUUUUUUAACACAACCGUAUUAACAUUUUUUAAAAAAACUAACUCCUAAACUAUUUGAAGAAACAAGUAAGAGCCUACCUUCUCCAUUGAAUUACCCAAAAAAAAAAAACCAUCAAGAUUUUAAUAAACCUAAAAUCUCUUAGAUCUAAAACCGAUCCUUAACCUUACGAUGUACGUAGAAAGGGAGACACACAUCAAUAGUUGAGUUGGCCUACUCACCAAAUGCUUUUCCAUAUUUAAACCAAAGGAAUACUCUUCAACGAGUGUCUUACUAGAAAAACGGAAAAUUAUCACAAAUACCUUAAUUUUCAUCUAUUUACAAAAAAAAAAAAAACCUUUAACAUUCAUAAACUUUGCCCAUACUUUUUUUUUUUUAGUGUGUUUUACCAAAAUAACCUUCACAGUAAUCGUAUUAUCAUGAAGCACAAUUACAGUACUUUAACUACCAUAAAAAUUAACCUAAGUUACACGACAUUUUAAGUACUAUAAAAACUAAACCAUAUAACACUUAACAUGCCAUAAACCUUUAACAUGAGUUAAUUUUCAUAAUACUUAAAAUACCGUAUAACAUGGAUUAAUUUUUUACGGCUAUUUUCGAUACUCAAAAUACUGUAUAAUAUAGAUUAAUUUUUACAAUACUUAAACUUACGGUACUUAAAAAAACGUAAAACAUAAAUUAAUUUUUACAGUCCUUAAAAUACGGUAUAACAUGAAUUAGUUUUUACGGUACUUAAAAUACUGUAAUUAUAAUUUACGAAAAUACGCCUACCGUAAAAAUUAUUUUAAUCAAAAAAUACCAAAAUUGAAAAAAACAAGCAAGAUUUAUAAGAGUUGAAAGUUUUUUCUAAAUAAACAAAAAUUAAAAUAUAUUUAUGAUAAUUUUCCAAAAACAAAAUACCAUGAAUCACAUAAUUUUUUUUUUUCUCUUUCAAGGUCCAAAGUUUGGCCGCAAUUUCUCCCAAUUUUUAUACCUUAGCCCCAUGCUCACCGUUGUAGGAUGAAGAGUUCAAAAUAAACGUCCAUAUAUAAAAAUUAGAAAUAAAGUUAUCUACUAGACCAUUAUUUUCAUUCCCAUAAAAGUGAAUACAGUUUUGGGUAAAUCUUAAAAUGAAAAAUGAAAAUAUCUCAAAAUUUGAAAAAAAAAAAAACUCAAUAUCACUAAAACUAGACAAAAUUCAACAUCCUCAUCAUCGUCGAAAUCUUUUCCCGUGUCCUUUAACCCUACUUGUUUUUUUUUUUUUAACCUUUUACUUGAACGCCUUUUACUUGAAUUAAUUUAUUGAUAAAACAUGUAUUGUACUGAGCCUUUUAAUUGAUUUAAUUGAACUAAUUUAUUGAUGAAAACAUGUAUUGUACUAAAUUUGCAUCAUAUAUAGCCUACCACCUAAAUCUAUUUUCUCUUUAUCUUAUUCUAACUGAACCCAAAAAGAAAUCCAAAAAAUGCAACUCAAAAUCACCCAAAAAAAAAAGAAAGAAAAAAAAAGCCAAAAUAACUGGAGGAAUACCAGAGAGAGAGAGAGAGAGAUGUCGCAGGAUCUAAUUGCCUUAUUCAGAUUAGAUCCGCUUUAUAUAUACAAAUGGCCAUUUUACUCAUUUAGGUCUGCUUUCUAGAAAUAUCAUGUUAAAAGACAUCUAAUCCGUUGAAUAAAGUUGUAAAUAAAGAAUGACGUCACGAGGUUAGGUUUUAAGUACAGCUAAAUAAAAAUAGAAAAAAAAAUGAGGUGAUAUUUAAACGAACUAGGGUGUAUAUUCCACCAAAUUAUUCUCAGAAAAAAAAAAAACUAUUUUUAUACUUCAUAUUUCUUUCGUACUAUUACCAAAAACUUACAUCCGCCUUAUAAUAUACCAUCCAAGCUGAAAUCAAAAGCAAAAGGUCAAAGCAAAAAAAAAAAGAUAGAAAAACCCUAAUACAUAUUCAUGCCCAACAUCAUAUCGCACAGUAAAAGCUUUUAGAGAACAGAAACCAAAGUACUUAAAAGACCAUAUUCUCGCUCUAAACUCAAGCAACCUUGACCUCAAUGGUCUUGGACUUCUUGGGCUGAGGAGGAGGCAGCUUCUGAACAGUGACAGUAAGAACCCCAUCUUGGCAAGCAGCUGAAAUGGCCUCCACAUUCCCAUUCUCAGGCAAAUUGAACUUCCUCAUGAAUUUCCCAACCCUUCUCUCCAUUCUCACAUAUUUCGCCUCUGGAUCUUCUUUCUCCUCCAUCUUUCUCUCCCCACUGAUGCUGAGAACCCUGUCCUCUUCGAUCUGAACCUUGAUAUCGCCAGAUUUGACGCCGGGCAUGUCGAUUAUGAAGACAUACGAAUUGGGGUACUCUUUAAUGUCGGCCGGUGUUGCGGCCAUGGCUUUGGUGUCUUGAACAUAGGUUCGAGUGGGUGCGUUCAGAACCUUCUCCAUACCAUCUGGUAGGUUCAACAGGUGGUGGAUGGUUGAGAGAAGAGGUUGCUCCAUUGCCACUCUCUAAGGUUUUGGGAAACGUGGGUUGUGAACAGGCAAGGCAAUAGAAAUCGUGCUUGUUUGAUCUGUGAUGAGAAAGAAAGAGGGGGUGGAGGUGUU